rnacentral:tRNA from 1 species
UAUAAUAUGGUGUAUGGUGCACGCAGGCCUUUGAAUCCUGAAGAUUAAGUUCAACUCUUCUCAUUAUAA